GUGAGGAAUUUUCCGCAAUGGGCGAAAGCCUGACGGAGCAAUGCCGCGUGAAGGAUGAAGGCCUAUGGGUUGUAAACUUCUUUUCUCAGAAAAGAAUUAUGACGGUAUCUGAGGAAUAAGCAUCGGCUAACUCUGUGCCAGCAGCCGCGGUAAGACAGAGGAUGCAAGCGUUAUCCGGAAUGAUAGGGCGUAAAGCGUCUGUAGGUUGUUUAAAAAGUAUUCUGUCAAAGAUUAGGGCUUAACCCUAGAUAGGCAGAAUAAACUUUUAAGCUAGAGUUUGGUAGAGGCAGAGGGAAUUCCCGGUGGAGCGGUGAAAUGCGUAGAUAUCGGGAGGAACACCAAAGGCGAAGGCACUCUGCUGGGCCAAUACUAACACUGAGAGACGAAAGCGAGGGGAGCAAAUGGGAUUAGAUACCCCGGUAGUCC
rnacentral:rRNA from 1 species